rnacentral:rRNA from 1 species
UACGGAGGGUGCAAGCGUUAUCCGGAUUCACUGGGUUUAAAGGGUGUGUAGGCGGGCUGUUAAGUCAGUGGUGAAAUCUCCGGGCUCAACCCGGAAACUGCCAUUGAUACUAUCAGUCUUGAAUCUUGUUGAGGUAGGCGGAAUAUAUCAUGUAGCGGUGAAAUGCUUAGAUAUGAUAUAGAACACCGAUUGCGAAGGCAGCUUACUAAACAAGCAUUGACGCUGAGGCACGAAAGCGUGGGGAGCAAAACGG